CGCGGCCUCCACGGGAGAGUUGGCGGCCGCUGAUUGGAGGAGGUGGCGAGAGGCGGGUUUCUCCGCCUCCCUGGGCCGCCAUUUUUGUUAAGGGAAAGUUGCCCUUGCGGACACCAUCUUGUAGGUGGGCAGAUCCUUAGCAAGGCGAGGCGUUCUUGAGCGGGAGAAUUUGAGAUGGACAGAGCGCAGGUGGGGGUUUGGAGGGUGAGUAGUUUGAGAUACACCUCAGGUUCACUGCAGCGUUUUGCUUUGCACGUGGAAAUGGCUCGUGGUUAGAGGCAGGAGCCGUUACAGAGGCACAGAUGUCGAUUGCAGUAUUUAAAUUGUUUGCUUGUUUCUUUCAUCGAUAACCACCAAAGCUGGGAUUGAGCUUGUUUCUAAGCCCACGUCAAAGUCCUUGACGUGGAAAAAAUAAAAAAAAAAGAAAAGAAAAAAGGAGGGAAAACAGCAGUGAAUGGGAUUUUUUUUUGUUUUUGCGAUGUAUGGUUUUGGUGGGCUAAUAGAGCAAAGGGAAAGGUGAGCAAGGUAGGGCUGAUAGAAGAGCCGGAACGCGGUCGUCUCAGGGAUACUGUUCCCUAAGAAGGGGUCAACCCUAUAAGCCAAGGGGACAAGCAUGGGGUUAGGAGUGAGCCGGACCGGAGCAGGGCUGCGGGUGUGCUGGUGCGGCACCGCCGUGCGCGCGGAGGAGCCGUGUGUGCUCACAGGGCGGCUGCCCUGCAGGACGGGCUGUGCGAGAGGCAGAUGUGUGUGGAGACACCUGAAAGGACCAGAAGGGGCUGCUCUCAGUUCGAGGGGCCAGGGAGUUGUGUCGGUCAGGGGAGAAGGUGAAGCCAGGUCGCGUCUGUGUGUUACACAAUGUAACGCAGGACUGCUGUCAAUGGCUGUGGAAUAGAAGCUGCGGUGGAAAUACUAGUUUGAAUUUGAUUUGUGUGAAGUGAGUAGCAAAGCUUGUAAAAAGGGAGAAGGGGUAUAUGAGUGAUAGCCAUAAAGAGAAAACCUGUACAUCUUUUGGAAUCGGGCUAUGAUUUGUACGUGUGUAUGAAAAAUGCAUUUAUCCUUCCAAACACUGUCCAUGCGCUGCCUAGCAAUGUUAAUGUACCUACAGACCUGAAUAGGAAAAUAAAAUGAGGAGCUCACUGUGUGCCUGAAGUUCGUUAGCUGUGCGAUGGUCUGUGCAAUUGCUGUAAGGCUAGUACUAUGGCUAUAAUAGAUAGCGUAAAGUAAACCUGUGUGUCUGUGUCGAUACUGGUGGCAAAUAUGUGAAUGAAGUCUAGGAAUUCACACAUUCAAAGAAACCCUUGCUUCAGAUUGUCUGUAGUGUGUGACUAUCAAGUCAGUAGCUGAAGAAGCCGAGUGGUUGUUGGUAUGGAAUAUAGUAUUCUCUUCCAGCUAAAUAGAGAUUGAUAGUGACGUGAUCACUUUAGAGUGGUUCUUGUGAUGAGACAGCGUGAAGGUUGCUUUAAUGGCUGUGGGGAUAAAGGUAAUCUGCAGGAUUUAGUGUAAAUCUCUUGGAUGCUGAUAUUCCUGCUUAAGUGCUAAGGAGUGAACUGCUCUGGGCAUGCAAGGACCCUGGCUGGGCUCAGCUGCCUGCUGGUGGGAGACUGGUUGGGGGCACCUGCUCUUUUAUCAGUCCUGGGGAAGGCAGUAGGGAAAAAAAGGCUGAGAAUAUUCUGUAACAUACUGAUUGUGCCCUAUUUGGGGGUUAAUUGCUGGAAGGCAGUGGCCUAACUCUCCCAAAGCUAUAGCUAUGGUACAGGUACAGUACGAAGUCUCGAGCAGUGAGUUGUGCUACAGGUGAGCAUCUGUAUUCACACAGACAGCAAAGAAGCUGGUAUUUCUGAUGGCUGGUUCUGCUCAGUAGCUCAAAUCCAGCUGCCUGAAUGUCAGAGAUAGGUGCUUCUGGGUCUGAUUUUUUUCUUAAGCUGGCUCUAGGAAUAAAGGCAUAUUUGUACAGAGGCAAGGGUGAAUCUUUACAGACUUUAUUUGCUAGAGGUUUGAUUUCUCCUCUAUAACAACUUUUGUAUAACUCAGUAUCAAUUUCAUUACAAUCAGAUACAGAAACUUUCUUCCUUGGAUCAGGUGAAGAUUUGGCUGGGGUAUCUACAUUUGAGGGUGUUAGCGUGGCUUCGCUUAGAGUGUUUGGCUUGCACUCAAAUGCUGCAUCUUUUGGCUUUAAUGGAAACUUUAAAAAACUCUAAUUAAAAUCUGAAGGCUUUUUGUGUUGAACUCUUUUCAUUUUCCACAAUUCACUAAUAAAUGCUUUUAGCUGAAUAAUAAUAAACAUAUAUAAACUCAGAUUUGCUAGGUUGGGUUAGAAGUGACUCAGGGUUCGCUUUGCACAGACAUCUUCCAGGUGUCAGCUAAGCCACAUUUUGGUAUCUUAGGUGUACUACCAUAGACAAGUUACCUUCUUAGUAGUUCCUACAUGGUUCAUGGGCUACGUAAUGAAGCAAGAAGGUGGACUGGCAGUGUGUACAGCUCAGGACCAGCUUACAUUACGCUUUUGUUAUAUUUUACAGCUAAAUGUCUUCUGGGAUGAGGAUUUUUCUGUUGUUUUGUCUUGACAAGGUGGGGUAGAUAGGCUGCUUCUGUCUCCUGCAGCCUGACCUGACUUACUAGUUGUAAUGGAAGAAGGUGUCUGUCUUUGAGAUUAAUCAUAUGUAGCAGUGAGUACAGAUUUUAAUUUCCAUAUCCUAUUCUCCUGGUUUUAAUUACCAGUCUUUCAUACCCAUUCUGUUAAAAUGAUUGGUAUGUGCACACUUAAAACUGAGAAAUGAAGUUACUGCCAAGACAUCUUGCCAUUGCAAUAAACUGAUGAACUCAGCAGUCACCCCGUGAGCACUGCUUGGAGCAGCGAGGUAUCCAACAAAGAACGAACCACGGAUUCUGCUAUUUGGAAGUACUGCCUCAGACCUGCCAUAUCUGUGGAUGUCUGGAGCACACUGAGGAUUGCCCUGUCAGGAGGACAGCAAUGAAUGUACAGCUGUAGCACUUUAAUACCAGUUUUGCUUCAGAUGGGGCCAGCAGGUACGCUCACGAUGGAGAGAUGCGCUGCGGAAUUCCACCAACUGUUUCAGGAAUGCACGUGCUACUGUGUUAUGCAAAGAAACCCAAGGAAUGCAUUACGUCUGAAUCAGCAACGCACAGAACAAAGGGGUCCUGUUCAAAACAUCUUGUUACUGCACUCUAUACAAAGAAUCUCCAAAUCCUGUUGCACCAGGGCAACAACUGCUGUUGCUUCUGCCUGCUCCAGGACUGAGUUUGCUGACGGAGUUGCACUAUGCCAGAAAGCCACCCCACCCUCCAGAGAAAUACGAAUUCCACAAAGUACUUGUUCCAGCAUUCACAAAAUCUAACGGCAGUCUACCUUCUGCACCUUUUAAGCUAAGCACUGAAAAGGGCGACAGAAUGUGCAGUAGAUAUCAGAACAACAGAAAGUUAACUCCACAGAGGCUCAAAUUCAGUAAAUUCAGGAAUUUAUUCUGUCCUCCUCUGUGUGCACCUGCCAUAAAUUGGGUAUCUGUGUACACCAUUUGAUUAUUUUCAACCCCCUAUGAAUACACAGUAAUGACAGACAUUCAGAAUGAUCAGACUGCUGUUGUACAGCCCCUCUAAUCAGAGCAAGGUGGUGCACUGUGAGAGCAAACCUCAGGGAGGUCUUCCAGCAGAAAGGGACUCUGCCCAUGUUGUCUGCAUUCUUGCUUUUGCAGUUUUAUUUGCAAGAUCUGCUGUUUUUCUGUUUUUUGUUUUUACAAUGAAGGAAUUCAGUAUAUCAGUACAUUUACUACUUUCAGAAGUAAAUUUUCCCACAGAAAAAAGCAAAAAAAAAAAAAACAAAAAACCCCAACCAAAUGUGAUUAGGGAGAUGGAAUGGAGUACUUAAUUCUCUUAAAAAUUUCUAAGAACCUCAAAUUAGAGAAUAACAUGAAAAUAUUUCACUCACUUCUAAGGAAUUGCCUUGACUUACCUUCAUUGAAAACAUAACUCUGAAUUGAGCUUUCAUACCUGUGUGCUAUACCAGAGACCCAGCUUGGUUCAUUAGCAGUUAGGGCUAAUUCUACUACUGGAAAACUCUACUCCUGUCCAUCAUAAGCCAAAUUUUAAUACUGUUCUCUUCUUAAUUGGGAAGGUUGCUGGGAUUACAAGCAGCCUAUGUUAGUAACAAAAUAGAGGAAGCACAAGAGACUUUGUUCCAGCCAAAUGGACCAUUUAAGAAACAGAACCAUAAUUUAUUACUUUUGUACGGGCUUGAGAAAGAAAAGAAAGACAUCCUCUGAAAAUCCCCUUCGUACGACAGGUGACCGAGCCCAGACUUUGUACAGAUGAGAUGGUCUCAUCUUUAGGAAAGUUUAGAAGCAACAUUCUCUGCCCAGUCACUGUAUUUAGAGGUAGUGCUAAAGGUGACCUGUAAAAGAUGUGUAUCCUUUUUUGCUUCUUUAUGCUGAUUGUAGCAGGAGAAACUGAGUGGCUAGGGGAAGAACAGGACACGUUGAUGCUACUCCUGUUUCUGACACUAAUUUACAUGCUGGAGGUAAGUCUUGUUUGAAUGUGCUUCAGGUUUUUCACUGGUAACUUACCAUCUUCUGGAGUGUGCUUUGCAGUCUGCAGGUGGAAAUGAAUGUAAGGAAAGGCCAAAAUGUAUGCUGGCAUGGCAGCAGGAAAGAGCAUUACUUCUUUAUAUAAAAACACUAGAUACUUGCUUUUUUGAUCCAGUUUCUUGAAAAAUAUGAAAACAGGAAUAGAGGGUUUCUUCUAGUUCUUUUUACAUCACAGGUCUUGCCUCUGUUACCACAGAACUUUUUCCUGUCUUGUAAUGUAACUCAACUAAGCAAAUACUGAUUAAAAGGCUUGUUUCACAACAUAUGUACUGACUCCACUUCUGCAUAGUUCUGUUUCUUGUUUUUGUUUGAUUUUUUUUUUUCUUUUUUCUUUUUUUCUAGAUCUCCCACCUGCACUGAAUUCUUCAUCCCUUUCUGGAGCCUGACCAUAAAAAAAGCUAGGGGGAGAGGGCUGUAUCGCCACAUGAAGAGAAAAGAACCAAAACCUUCAAAAAGAGAGAAGGAGCUCUUACAACUUCUUCAUACUUUCUAAAGAGCAAAAGAGGAAAGAAAUGUUCCUUCUUUACAGGCUGCCUUUAAGAUUUCUGACUCUAGGGCGCAUACUACACUGAGCAUUUCUUGCAUCUGCCUACUGUGAGAGAUGGACAUCCUCCACGCCAGCUGCAGUGACUUUUGGAGGGGGGCUGAGGAAUGACGGUUUUGGGUAAUGGAUCUCAGCUCCUGGGUGAUGGAAGUUAGUGAGAAUUGUGAUGUUCAGCCCUGAGGCAAGGAAUAGUAGAUGUCAUGCAUUUAGCCACUUUUUCUUUACUGGUGAGUCAUCAACCAGCUGUGGCAUAAAGAACUUUUUAUUUUCUUUUAACUGGAAUAGAAAUGCUGGUGUUGACAGCCUGCCCAAAGCUGGGCAUGGGAAAGGCCUACAAUCAAGUCACAGCUCCAGUGGCUACUAACCUCCCCCUCAUCCUGUAACACAGAUGAACAGCAUGACUCCAAUGAGAAAGCAGGUUGGUUUAGCCAGUGAAAGCAAAUUUUAAGAAAUCAAACAGUACAUAAAAAACAAAGGAGGCAGAGUUUGUUGGAAAUGGUAUCUUGGAAAUCAGUGCAUCAGCACUGGUUAAUUGCCUCAGCACCUAUGAACCAAUGCAGGGAGAUCACUGCACAGAUAUGUACAAUCUUGCUCUCAAAAGAGCCAAUAUCUUCUUAGAAUUGCCAUCUUUCCACUGCCUGCUCCUCAUGCACCUUCCAGACUGACAGUUCAUAAAAUCCCUGAUUUCAGCAAUGAGCUUUCAUUUCUGUACAGCAAUAAAAUGUGUCCCUAG